rnacentral:rRNA from 1 species
UACAGAGGUCUCAAGCGUUGUUCGGAAUUAUUGGGCGUAAAGGGCGCGUAGGCGGUUUGUUAAGUCGGCUGUGAAAGCCCGGGGCUCAACCCCGGAGGGUCAGCCGAUACUGGCAGACUAGAGUACGGAAGAGGUAGCUGGAAUUCCCGGUGUAGCGGUGAAAUGCGCAGAUAUCAGGAGGAACACCCGUGGCGAAAGCGGCUCUCUGGGACGGUACUGACGCUGAGACGCGAAAGCGUGGGGAGCAAACAGG